ensembl:lncRNA
UACAGCGAGGCGACCAAGGACCGGCCAGCUACUACAGCGAGGCGACCAAGGACCGGCCAGCUACUACAGCGAGGCGACCAAGGACCGGCCAGCUACUACAGCGAGGUGACCAAGGACCGGCCAGCUACUACAGCGAGGUGACCAAGGACCGGCCAGCUACUACAGCGAGGUGACCAAGGACCGGCCAGCUACUACAGCAAGGUGACCAAGGACCGGCCAGCUACUACAGCUACUACAGCAAGGUAACCAAGGACCGGCCAGCUACUACAGCUACUACAGCAAGGUGACCAAGGACUGGCCAGCUACUACAGCGAGGUGACCAAGGACCGGCCAGCUACUACAGCGAUGCGACCAAGGACCGGCCAGCUACUACAGCGAGGCGACCAAGGACCGGCCAGCUACUACAGCGAGGCGACCAAGGACCGGCCAGCUACUACAGCGAGGUGACCAAGGACCGGCCAGCUACUACAGCGAGGUGACCAAGGACCGGCCAGCUACUACAGCGAGGCGACCAAGGACCGGCCAGCUACUACAGCGAGGCGACCAAGGACCGGCCAGCUACUACAGCGAGGCGACCAAGGACCGGCCAGCUACUACAGCGAGGCGACCAAGGACCGGCCAGCUGCUACAGCGAGGCGACCAAGGACCGGCCAGCUGCUACAGCGAGGCGACCAAGGACCGGCCAGCUGCUACAGCGAGGCGACCAAGACCGGCCAGCUGCUACAGCGAGGCGACCAAGGACCGGCCAGCUGCUACAGCGAGGCGACCAAGGACCG